rnacentral:rRNA from 1 species
AUUGAACGCUGGCGGCAUGCUUUACACAUGCAAGUCGAACGGUAACAGGCCUUCGGGUGCUGACGAGUGGCGAACGGGUGAGUAAUGCAUCGGAACGUGCCCAGAGGUGGGGGAUAACGCAGCGAAGGCUGUGCUAAUACCGCAUGUGAUCUGAGGAUGAAAGCGGGGGACCAGGCAGCAAUGUUUGGCCUCGCGCCUUUGGAGCGGCCGAUGUCAGAUUAGGUAGUUGGUGGGGUAAAGGCCUACCAAGCCGACGAUCUGUAGCUGGUCUGAGAGGACGACCAGCCACACUGGGACUGAGACACGGCCCAGACUCCUACGGGAGGCAGCAGUGGGGAAUUUUGGACAAUGGGCGCAAGCCUGAUCCAGCAAUGCCGCGUGCGGGAAGAAGGCCUUCGGGUUGUAAACCGCUUUUGUACGGAACGAAAAGGCUCUGGCUAAUACCUGGGGCUGAUGACGGUACCGUAAGAAUAAGCACCGGCUAACUACGUG